AUAGUCAUGCGCCGUGCGUUGCUGAACUCGGCGCGCGAGAAGCGCGCGGUGCCCCAUCCCCGCGACCGCUCGGUGCGGCAGCUGGAAAAGAAGGAGAAGCGCGCAGUCCGACUCGACGCGCACAAAACCAGGCUCAAGAUGGAGAAAACGCUGCAGCUGAUGCGGUUUUUCUGGUUCCGGGAGCAGUGCAUUGCUCUCGGCUACACCGCCACUGCCGUCCCAGAGGAGACGGUCGCGCAGCUCGUGCAGCUUUAUGUGGAUCGCAAUAAGGAGGAGAUGUCGGCGCUGCGCCUGCAGCGCAACCCACCGAUGGGCCGCAUUAAGGUUCUUGAAGCAACCCUGCAGGCCGAGGAGGAUGAGCUGCAUUCGGCGAAGGGGCUUCGGGUGCCGAGCAUGACGGAUGCCGAUGACGUCGAGAUAUUGACAGAGAUAUGGGACGGGGCACAGGAAACGGUUACGGUGGUGCCGCUGACCAGCAUUUCCAUGCAGCACCGCACGCCGCCGACGAAGGAGGCACUCGAGCAGCUGCUGCAGCGAUUGCGGCCGGUGGCGGAUAUCCGCAAGGAGGCACCCGUGACGCUGCCGAAGCGCGCUGUCAAGUUUCACGCCGUGCAGUCGCAGCAGCAGUCAACCGCGCCGUCGCGCAUGAAAGUGUCCAUCAAGAAGACGGAGGACACCACGGCGAGUGUCAGGCUGCGCGUGAAAGCGCGCGAGGAGGCGAAGCAGCAGAAGCGUCUCUCGGCGCAGCGCUGCGCCGCCAUGGCGAGCCGUCGUGGAGUUUCGGCCGACGAGGACGCCUAAGGGCGCGGAGAGGUCGGUGUGGAGAGGAAUGGUGUGAAACGACGUGUAAGCGAAGCGCGAGGGCCCCUCCCACCCGUCGCAGCCUGGAGCACCCACGUAC
rnacentral:misc_RNA from 1 species